AAAUAAUUUAAAAAUUUAUUGUUUAAGUAUUAAGUAAAAAAAAAUUUAUAGGUUAAUAGUUUAAUAGUAUUGUGAAAGAAUUAUUUAAAUAUUAAAAAGAAUAAAUUUUAAGUACCUUUUGUAUCAGGGUUAAUUAAAAUUAUAAAUUUAUUUUUUUAUUUCUCAAAUUUAUAGAGUUAAUUUUAUUCUUAAUUUAUUGUAUUAAAAAUAUUUAUAAAAUAAUUUUUMGUUUUGAAAUUUAAUUCGAUAUAUUAUAUUUAGUUAUUUAAGAUUUAAAUUUAAUUUAAAAUUUUAAAAGUUAUAUUAAUUUUUUUUAUUAAUAUUUUAAAUUUAAAAUAUUUUAAGGAUAAGCUUGAAAUUUAAAUAUAUUUUUUUAUUUUAAAUUUAAUAUUAAAUAGGAAUAGAAAUUUUUAUUUAUUAAAGUUUGUAAAAAUUUAUUAUUUAUUUAAAUUUUAAUUUAUUAUAAAAUUUAAUUAUUUUUUAUAUUAAAUUUUAUAAAUUAAUAAAAUAUUUAUAGUAAUAAUGAUUAAAUUAGUAUAAUUAAAAAUUUAUAAUUUAUGAAUUCGGCAAAAAUUAUUUUCAUCUGUUUAACAAAAACAUUGUAUUAAGUUUUAUUUAAUAUAGAAUCUGCUCAAUGAUUUAAUUAAAUAGCUGCAGUAUUUUGACUGUGCAAAGGUAGCAUAAUAAUUAGUCUUUUAAUUGGGGACUUGUAUGAAAGAUUUGAUGAAAAAUAAACUUUAUUAAUUAUAAAAUUAAAAUUUUAUUUUUAAGUAAAAAAGCUUAAAUAAUUUAAAGGGACGAUAAGACCCUAUAAAACUUUAUAAUUAAUUAAUUUUUAUUUUUUUUUUGGUUUUAUUUUAUUUUUUAGAAUAAUUUAUUUAUAAAUAAAAUUUAUUAUUUAUUUUAUUGGGGUGAUAAAAAAAAUUAAUAAACUUUUUUUAAAAGUUAACAUUAAUUAAUGAAUUAUUGAAUUAAAAUUUUUGAUUAAAGGAAAAAGUUACUUUAGGGAUAACAGCGUAAUUAAUUUUUUAAGUUCAAAUUUAAAAGUUAGUUUGCGACCUCGAUGUUGAAUUAAGAUUAAUCUUAGGUGCAAAAUUUUAAGUUUUAGGUCUGUUCGACCU
rnacentral:rRNA from 1 species